rnacentral:rRNA from 1 species
GACGAACGCUGGCGGCGUGCUUAACACAUGCCAGUCGAACGGAGAGGCCCUGCGUUUGUGGGGUGCUCGAGUGGCGAACGGGUGAGUAACACGUGAGUAACCUGCCCUUGACUUUGGGAUAACUUCAGGAAACUGGGGCUAAUACCGGAUAGGAGCUCCUGCUGCAUGGUGGGGGUUGGAAAGUUUCGGCGGUUGUGGAUGGACUCGCAGCUUAUCAGCUUGUUUGUGAGGUAGUGGAUGACCAAGGCUUUGACGGAUAGCCGGCCUGAGAGCGUGACCGGCCACAUUGGGACUGAGAUAGGGACCAGACUCCUACGGGAGGCAACAGUGGGGAAUAUUGCACAAUGGGCGGAAGCCUGAUGCGGAAACGCCGCGUGCGGAAUGACGGCCUUCGGGUUGUAAACCGCUUUCGCCUGUAACGAAGCGUGAGUGACGGUAAUGAGUCAGGAAGCACCGGCUAACUACGUG